GGGAAACUGCCUGAUGGAGGGGGAUAACUACUGGAAACGGUAGCUAAUACCGCAUAACGUCGCAAGACCAAAGGAGGGGGACCUUCGGGCCUCUUGCCAUCGGAUGUGCCCAGAUGGGAUUAGCUUGUUGGUGGGGUAACGGCUCACCAAGGCGACGAUCCCUAGCUGGUCUGAGAGGAUGACCAGCCACACUGGAACUGAGACACGGUCCAGACUCCUACGGGAGGCAGCAGUGGGGAAUAUUGCACAAUGGGCGCAAGCCUGAUGCAGCCAUGCCGCGUGUAUGAAGAAGGCCGUUCGGGUUAGUAAAGUACUUUCAGGCGGGGAGGAAGGGAGUAAAGUUAAUACCUUUGCUCAUUGACGUUACCCGCAGAAGAAGCACCGGCUAACUCCGUGCCAGCAGCGGC
rnacentral:rRNA from 1 species